AUGAACGCUAGCGACAGGCUUAACACAUGCAAGUCGAGGGGCAGCACAGGUAGCAAUACCGGGUGGCGACCGGCGCACGGGUGAGUAACGCGUAUGCAACUUACCUAUCAGAGGGGGAUAACCCGGCGAAAGUCGGACUAAUACCGCAUGAAGCAGGGGCCCCGCAUGGGGAUAUUUGCUAAAGAUUCAUCGCUGAUAGAUAGGCAUGCGUUCCAUUAGGCAGUUGGCGGGGUAACGGCCCACCAAACCGACGAUGGAUAGGGGUUCUGAGAGGAAGGUCCCCCACAUUGGUACUGAGACACGGACCAAACUCCUACGGGAGGCAGCAGUGAGGAAUAUUGGUCAAUGGCCGAGAGGCUGAACCAGCCAAGUCGCGUGAGGGAUGAAGGUUCUAUGGAUCGUAAACCUCUUUUAUAAGGGAAUAAAGUGCGGGACGUGUCCCGUUUUGUAUGUACCUUAUGAAUAAGGAUCGGCUAACUCCGUGCCAGCAGCCGCGGUAAUACGGAGGAUCCGAGCGUUAUCCGGAUUUAUUGGGUUUAAAGGGUGCGUAGGCGGCCUUUUAAGUCAGCGGUGAAAGUCUGUGGCUCAACCAUAGAAUUGCCGUUGAAACUGGGGGGCUUGAGUAUGUUUGAGGCAGGCGGAAUGCGUGGUGUAGCGGUGAAAUGCAUAGAUAUCACGCAGAACCCCGAUUGCGAAGGCAGCCUGCCAAGCCAUGACUGACGCUGAUGCACGAAAGCGUGGGGAUCAAACAAGAUUAGAUACCCUGGUAGUCCACGCAGUAAACGAUGAUCACUAGCUGUUUGCGAUACACUGUAAGCGGCACAGCGAAAGCGUUAAGUGAUCCACCUGGGGAGUACGCCGGCAACGGUGAAACUCAAAGGAAUUGACGGGGGCCCGCACAAGCGGAGGAACAUGUGGUUUAAUUCGAUGAUACGCGAGGAACCUUACCCGGGUUUGAACGCAUUCGGACCGAGGUGGAAACACCUUUUCUAGCAAUAGCCGUUUGCGAGGUGCUGCAUGGUUGUCGUCAGCUCGUGCCGUGAGGUGUCGGCUUAAGUGCCAUAACGAGCGCAACCCUUGCCACUAGUUACUAACAGGUAAAGCUGAGGACUCUGGUGGGACUGCCAGCGUAAGCUGCGAGGAAGGCGGGGAUGACGUCAAAUCAGCACGGCCCUUACAUCCGGGGCGACACACGUGUUACAAUGGCGUGGACAAAGGGAGGCCACCUGGUGACAGGGAGCGAAUCCCCAAACCACGUCUCAGUUCGGAUCGGAGUCUGCAACCCGACUCCGUGAAGCUGGAUUCGCUAGUAAUCGCGCAUCAGCCAUGGCGCGGUGAAUACGUUCCCGGGCCUUGUACACACCGCCCGUCAAGCCAUGGGAGCCGGGGGUACCUGAAGUCCGUAACCGAAAGGAUCGGCCUAGGGUAAAACUGGUGACUGGGGCU
rnacentral:rRNA from 1 species